GGCCAAGCGCCGGGCCUAGCGGCGGCCUGCGUUCCGCGCCCGCGUCACCCCCGCUGCUCCCGGACACGCUCUGCCUCCCUGGGCCCAUCUGCUGGCCCCGGCCCCGGCGCCGCUUGUUUAGAGGCCCGGGGAGGCUGGGGGCGGAGGUGCCGCGGGUCGGCCCCGGAGGGGAAAGUCCUUGCUUUGUCCGAGGCUGCCAACCUGCCUCGUGGCACGGAGCGGGCUGAGGGGUGAGGGACAGGGAGGCCCGAGUGCCCUGGGCUGGCUGCAGAUGCCGGGCUGGGGGCUCUGCUUAGCGGCUCCUCUCCCGCUGCACGUAGUUACCCAUAAAUGAAAUGGCAGAAUUUCAGCAAAUGUGAUGGAGUACACUGCCACCAACAACAGCUCAGAACAGCAUGCUGAAGGCAGGUGCCUGGAAGUGGGAGGCGUCACUGGAGAUUCAUCUGAUCCCGAGAGAAAUGUAAUCCAAUAUAGAUUUUUGCUGCUACAGAGGAAAGCAGAAGGGGCUGGCCUAGCACAGCGCUCCUCCAGGUCUGCUGAAUCACGGAGGCUUUGAAAGUAUCCCGUGGCCUGAAAGCUAUAUUCUCUGGGGAU